UACGUAGGGGGCAAGCGUUAUCCGGAUUCACUGGGUGUAAAGGGAGCGUAGACGGCCAUGCAAGCCUGGAGUGAAAGCCCGGGGCCCAACCCCGGGACUGCUCUGGGAACUGUGUGGCUGGAGUGCGGGAGGGGCAGGCGGAAUUCCUGGUGUAGCGGUGAAAUGCGUAGAUAUCAGGAGGAACACCGGCGGCGAAGGCGGCCUGCUGGACCGCGACUGACGUUGAGGCUCGAAAGCGUGGGGAGCAAACAGG
rnacentral:rRNA from 1 species